rnacentral:rRNA from 1 species
UACAGAGGUCCCAAGCGUUAUUCGGAUUCACUGGGCGUAAAGGGUGCGUAGGCGGUCGGGUAAGUCUGAUGUGUAAUCUCACAGCUUAACUGUGAAACUGCAUUGGAUACUAUCCGGCUCGAGGAAUGGAGGGGAGACUGGAAUACUUGGUGUAGCAGUGAAAUGCGUAGAUAUCAAGUGGAACACCAGUGGCGAAGGCGAGUCUCUGGACAUUUCCUGACGCUGAGGCACGAAAGCCAGGGGAGCAAACGGG